ACCAUCCUCCAAGGCUAAAUACUCCUGACUGACCGAUAGUGAACCAGUACCGUGAGGGAAAGGCGAAAAGAACCCCGGCGAGGGGAGUGAAAAAGAACCUGAAACCGUGUACGUACAAGCAGUGGGAGCCUCUUUAUGGGGUGACUGCGUACCUUUUGUAUAAUGGGUCAGCGACUUAUAUUCUGUAGCAAGGUUAACCGAAUAGGGGAGCCGAAGGGAAACCGAGUCUUAACUGGGCGUUAAGUUGCAGGGUAUAGACCCGAAACCCGGUGAUCUAGCCAUGGGCAGGUUGAAGGUUGGGUAACACUAACUGGAGGACCGAACCGACUAAUGUUGAAAAAUUAGCGGAUGACUUGUGGCUGGGGGUGAAAGGCCAAUCAAACCGGGAGAUAGCUGGUUCUCCCCGAAAGCUAUUUAGGUAGCGCCUCGUGAAUUCAUCUCCGGGGGUAGAGCACUGUUUCGGCAAGGGGGUCAUCCCGACUUACCAACCCGAUGCAAACUGCGAAUACCGGAGAAUGUUAUCACGGGAGACACACGGCGGGUGCUAACGUCCGUCGUGAAGAGGGAAACAACCCAGACCGCCAGCUAAGGUCCCAAAGUCAUGGUUAAGUGGGAAACGAUGUGGGAAGGCCCAGACAGCCAGGAUGUUGGCUUAGAAGCAGCCAUCAUUUAAAGAAAGCGUAAUAGCUCACUGGUCGAGUCGGCCUGCGCGGAAGAUGUAACGGGGCUAAACCAUG
rnacentral:rRNA from 1 species